AGGUGAUGACACAAAUGUUACUUGCGAGAACGUCACGUCUGGCCGGCCAUCUAUCGGUCGCUUGGUGAAUCAGGGGUGGGAAUCACACGCACUUGUGUUGAGUUUUGUCUCUUGUUCCAUAAUCGAGUACAUUGAAACGUAUGAUGUAAAAAUAAUUAAUACUCGCAAAACAUUAGACAUAUAUUAGGCUAACAUGUGCUGCCUGGGAAGUCUUGUGCUAUGCUAAAGCAAUGGAGCUAGAACUGAGUUACCAAUGGUCUCAGAAUAGAAUGACACGGAAACAAACGAAAUCGAAAUACGGUUUCUAAAAUCAUCGCACAACUUUGGAUAAUUUAAUGCAUUAUGUCGUACGGUGCGUUUACGUUUAACCGUCAGAGUAUCUUUGUGAUUUUACCAUUUCGUUCGUUUACACGAUUAAUCGCGCGGUUCUAACGACUUUGUAUGAUCGUAGAGAACAAAAAAAUCGUAUAUAGAGAUCUUUGUAAAUUCUUUUAGUUUGAAUAUACAGUUUAUUAACAAUAUUUCUUUUACGUUAGUUUUAAUGUAAUAAAAAUCGAUUGUCCAUGAGGAAGAUAUACAACUCGCAUGGUAUCGAAUUAAAAAAUUUGAAAAUAAAAUUCAGUGUCUCUUCUAGAAACA